rnacentral:lncRNA from 1 species
UCUUCACCUCUUUUGGCAAGCAGAUGGGGUGUCCCAAUCAAAAUAGACAGACUGAGUGGGCACCCCUCAUCAAGAGAGACAGGUAGUUGGGAUGCCAACCCUUGGCGCCCCUUCUAGGGUUUUUAUAAAAGAGAGGGGAGGCGUGGCCCCUCUCUAUCUCUCCUUCCACACCAAGGCAAGAGAGGAGGCAAGCCCCUCUCUCUUCCUCAUACAAUUCCAAGGGGUUGGUGCCCCUGGGACCUUCCAACA